rnacentral:rRNA from 1 species
ACGGAAGGCAGCAGUAGGGAAUAUUGGACAAUGGGGGCAACCCUGAUCCAGCGACGCCGCGUGAGUGAAGAAAUAUUUCGGUAUGUAAAGCUCUAUCAGCAGGGAAGAAAAUGACGGUACCUGACUAAGAAGCACCGGCUAAAUACGUGCCAGCAGCCGCGGUAAUACGUAUGGUGCAAGCGUUAUUCGGAUUUACUGGGUGUAAAGGGAGCGUAGACGGCAUAGCAAGUCUGAAGUGAAAUGCGGGGGCUCAACCCCUGAACUGCUUUGGAAACUGUUAAGCUAGAGUGUCGGAGAGGUAAGUGGAAUUCCUAGUGUAGCGGUGAAAUGCGUAGAUAUUAGGAGGAACACCAGUGGCGAAGGCGGCUUACUGGACGAUAACUGACGUUGAGGCUCGAAAGCGUGGGGAGCGAACAGGAUUAGAUACCCUGGUA